rnacentral:rRNA from 1 species
GAUGAACGCUGGCGGCGUGCCUAACACAUGCAAGUCGAACGAAGCAAUAAAGACGGAGAUUCGUCAAAGCCUUUAUUGACUUAGUGGCGGACGGGUGAGUAACGCGUGAGCAACCUGCCUUUCAGAGGGGGACAACAGUUGGAAACGGCUGCUAAUACCGCAUAAUGUACAGAGGGGGCAUCCCUUUGUAUCAAAGGAGAAAUCCGCUGAAAGAUGGGCUCACGUCUGAUUAGCUAGUUGGUGGGGUAAAGGCCUACCAAGGCUGCGAUCAGUAGCCGGACUGAGAGGUUGAACGGCCACAUUGGGACUGAGAUACGGCCCAG